GACGAACGCUGGCGGCGUGCUUAACACAUGCAAGUCGAACGGAAAGGCCCUGCUUUUGUGGGGUGCUCGAGUGGCGAACGGGUGAGUAACACGUGAGUAACCUGCCCUUGACUUUGGGAUAACUUCAGGAAACUGGGGCUAAUACCGGAUAGGGGCUCCUGCUGCAUGGGGGGGGUGGGAAAGUUUCGGCGGUUGGGGAUGGACUCGCGGCUUAUCAGCUUGUUGGUGGGGUAGUGGCUUACCAAGGCUUUGACGGGUAGCCGGCCUGAGAGGGUGACCGGCCACAUUGGGACUGAGAUACGGCCCAGACUCCUACGGGAGGCAGCAGUGGGGAAUAUUGCACAAUGGGCGGAAGCCUGAUGCAGCAACGCCGCGUGCGGGAUGACGGCCUUCGGGUUGUAAACCGCUUUCGCCUGUGACGAAGCGUGAGUGACGGUAAUGGGUAAAGAAGCACCGGCUAACUACGUG
rnacentral:rRNA from 1 species